AGUGAACGCUGGCGGUAGGCCUAACACAUGCAAGUCGAACGGCAGCACAGUAAGAGCUUGCUCUUACGGGUGGCGAGUGGCGGACGGGUGAGGAAUACAUCGGAAUCUACUUUUUCGUGGGGGAUAACGUAGGGAAACUUACGCUAAUACCGCAUACGACCUACGGGUGAAAGCAGGGGAUCUUCGGACCUUGCGCGAUUGAAUGAGCCGAUGUCGGAUUAGCUAGUUGGCGGGGUAAAGGCCCACCAAGGCGACGAUCCGUAGCUGGUCUGAGAGGAUGAUCAGCCACGCUGGAACUGAGACACGGUCCAGACUCCUACGGGAGGCAGCAGUGGGGAAUAUUGGACAAUGGGCGCAAGCCUGAUCCAGUCAUACCGCGUGGGUGAAGAGGGCCUUCGGGUUGUAAAGCCCUUUUGUUGGGAAAGAAAAGCAGCAGGUUAAUACCCCGCUGUUCUGACGGUACCCAAAGAAUAGGCACCGGCUAACUUCGUG
rnacentral:rRNA from 1 species